rnacentral:rRNA from 1 species
UUUAAAGAGAGUUUGAUCCUGGCUCAGGACGAACGCUGGCGGCGUGCCUAAUACAUGCAAGUCGAACGAACGGAGGAAGAGCUUGCUCUUCCAAAGUUAGUGGCGGACGGGUGAGUAACACGUGGGCAACCUGCCUGUAAGUUGGGGAUAACUCCGGGAAACCGGGGCUAAUACCGAAUGAUAAAGUGUGGCGCAUGCCACGCUUUUGAAAGAUGGUUUCGGCUAUCGCUUACAGAUGGGCCCGCGGUGCAUUAGCUAGUUGGUAGGGUAAUGGCCUACCAAGGCAACGAUGCAUAGCCGACCUGAGAGGGUGAUCGGCCACACUGGGACUGAGACACGGCCCAGACUCCUACGGGAGGCAGCAGUAGGGAAUCUUCCGCAAUGGACGAAAGUCUGACGGAGCAACGCCGCGUGUAUGAAGAAGGUUUUCGGAUCGUAAAGUACUGUUGUUAGAGAAGAACAAGGAUAAGAGUAACUGCUUGUCCCUUGACGGUAUCUAACCAGAAAGCCACGGCUAACUACGUGCCAGCAGCCGCGGUAAUACGUAGGUGGCAAGCGUUGUCCGGAUUUAUUGGGCGUAAAGCGCGCGCAGGCGGUCUUUUAAGUCUGAUGUGAAAGCCCCCGGCUUAACCGGGGAGGG